GACGAACGCUGGCGGCGUGCUUAACACAUGCAAGUCGAACGGAAAGGCCCUGCUUUUGUGGGGUGCUCGAGUGGCGAACGGGUGAGUAACACGUGAGUAACCUUCCCUUGACUUUGGGAUAACUUCAGGAAACUGGGGCUAAUACCGGAUAGGAGCUCCUGCUGCAUGGUGGGGGUUGGAAAGUUUCGGCGGUUGGGGAUGGACUCGCGGCUUAUCAGCUUGUUGGUGGGGUAGUGGCUUACCAAGGCUUUGACGGGUAGCCGGCCUGAGAGGGUGACCGGCCACAUUGGGACUGAGAGACGGCCCAGACUCCUACGGGAGGCAGCAGUGGGGAAGAGUGCACAAUGGGCGGAAGCCUGAUGCAGCAACGCCGCGUGCGGGAUGACGGACUUCGGGUUGUAAACCGCUUUCGCCUGUGACGAAGCGUGAGUGAAGGUAAUGGGUAAAGAAGCACCGGAUAACUACGUG
rnacentral:rRNA from 1 species